rnacentral:rRNA from 1 species
GAUGAACGCUGGCGGCGUGCCUAAUACAUGCAAGUCGAGCGAACAGACGAGGAGCUUGCUCCUUCGACGUUAGCGGCGGACGGGUGAGUAACACGUAGGUAACCUACCUAUAAGACUGGGAUAACUUCGGGAAACCGGAGCUAAUACCGGAUAAUAUUUCGAACCGCAUGGUUCGAUAGUGAAAGAUGGCUUUGCUAUCACUUAUAGAUGGACCUGCGCCGUAUUAGCUAGUUGGUAAGGUAACGGCUUACCAAGGCAACGAUACGUAGCCGACCUGAGAGGGUGAUCGGCCACACUGGAACUGAUGCACGGUCCAGACUCCUACGGGAGGCAGCAGUAGGGAAUCUUCCGCAAUGGGCGAAAGCCUGACGGAGCAACGCCGCGUGAGUGAUGAAGGUCUUCGGAUCGUAAAACUCUGUUAUUAGGGAAGAACAAACGUGUAAGUAACUGUGCACGUCUUGACGGUACCUAAUCAGAAAGCCACGGCUAACUACGUG